UGGGGGAUAUUGCACAAUGGAGGAAACUCUGAUGCAGCGACGCCGCGUGAGUGAAGAAGUAUUUCGGUAUGUAAAGCUCUAUCAGCAGGGAAGAUAAUGACAGUACCUGACUAAGAAGCCCCGGCUAACUACGUGCCAGCAGCCGCGGUAAUACGUAGGGGGCAAGCGUUAUCCGGAUUUACUGGGUGUAAAGGGAGCGUAGACGGAACGGCAAGUUUGAAGUGAAAUACCCGGGCUUAACCCGGGAACUGCUUUGAAAACUGUCGAUCUAGAGUGUCGGAGAGGUAAGUGGAAUUCCUGGUGUAGUAGUGAAAUGCGUAGAUAUUAGGAGGAACACCAGUGG
rnacentral:rRNA from 1 species